rnacentral:lncRNA from 13 species
CUUUGCUGGGGUUCGACCCAACUCUGCCCCCUACCCCUUUCUCCUUGUUCUACAUCUAGCGAGCCCAGGCCCUCCUGAGGAGCAGAGAAUGGAAGGAAGCCAAGUUCUGUCCUGCGGGUCCUCGCCCUUUGCAGGAAGAGGAUGUGGUGGAGGCCAGCUUUUCCAUAAGCAGUGAGGGAAUAAACAGAGGCUUCGGGGCCAGGUCAAGCUUAUCUUCUGUGGGUACUUUAUGCCCAACCAGUGAGAAGAUGCAGAAAGCUACCUCUGAAUCCAAGACUGGCUGGCAUUCCUUAGAAAGAUAGAAGUGGAAUUCUUCGGUGAGUCUUCCUUAGAAAGGCACUAAAGAUAGAUUUUGUUAAAAGAGUAGGUGUAGUAUGAUUGAUGCAAAAGGGGGAUCCACAAUCCCUAAUGUGAGAGUUCAAAAUAAAAGCUUUUCAGCUCUUGAAGACA